rnacentral:lncRNA from 1 species
ACUGGCUUAUCUCUCCAUCGAAUCAAAUUAGCCAUAUAUAUAUAUAUAUAUAUAUAUAUAUAUAUAUACAGUUGAGCUAGAAUACUAUCGGUAGCAAACGGGCUCCAUUGCCACCCAUUUGUUUUCAAUGAUGGAGCCUCCAAAUCGACAAUCGGCACCAUUGAAUAUGAUUUAUACCACUUGAAGUGUUUACAAAUCAAAUUUCAAAUCUUUUCGACAUCAUUUGCCUAAUGAUCAAAGGGUUUCAAAAUUUGUAAUUUUGAUGGUCGAUAUGAGGCGUUUUUUCGUUUAACGGUGUAAAGAUAUUCAAAUUAAUUGAAUUUUUGUUCGAAAAUUCUUUAAACUAUUUAAAAUAAGAUCUAUACCCUUGAUCUUGAUUACAAGACUCCUAUCAUCAGUUUUUAAAGAAUAUUCAUUUUCAGCCGUUUAUUUUUGUGUCUACUUAAUGGAUAAGAGAACAAUAUCGAAAAUGUAUGAAAUUUGAUUUUGAUGAUGAGAGGCUAGUAUACUAUCGGUAGCACGGAGGCCUUCAUGCUACCAAAUUGUUUUUGAUGAUGUGGCUUCGAAAUCGACGAUCGGCUUCGUUAGAAUUGAUCUACACCAUUAAAACUAUUUGGAAACUAAAUUUCAUAAUAUUUCGAUAUCAUUUGGCUAGUGAUCAAAAGGUCCCAAAAUUGAUAAUUUUAAUGGUAGAUGUGAUGCGUUUGUGAAUUUAACGGUGUAAAACAAUUCAAAUCUGAUAAAAUUUUUGUAGAAAAUUCUUUUCACUAUUUAGAGUAAGAUCAGUAUAUCUGAUCUUAAAUUUAAGUCUUUUAUCAUCAUUUUUUAUGAGAUUUUUAUUUUCAAUCGUUCAUUUUUGGACAACUCGUUUGAUAGAUAAAUGAUGUCGAAAAAUUAUGAAAUUUAGUUUCUAAAUAGUUUUAAUGGUGUAGAUCAAGUUUAACGGAGCCGAUCGUCGAUUUGGAAGCCACAUCAUCGAAAAUAACUUGGUAGCACGGAGGCCUCCGUGCUACCGAUAGUAUACCAGCCUUGCUCUAUAUAUAUAUAUAGGGUCCGGCUACUAUACUAUUAUGAGUACGAUCGCCCUCGUACUCAUAAGUUGUUUUCGAUAAUAGAGCUUCCGAAUCGACGAUCCACACCGUUAAACGUUAUUUACAGCAUUUAAAACUUCUAGAAAUCAAAUUUUAUAAUUUUUUGACAUCAUUUACCUUACGAUCAAGAAGUCACAAAUUUGACAAUUUUUAACGGCCGGUAUGAGAUACUUGCUAGUUUAACAAUGCAAAAGAAUCGGAAUUUGUUGAAUUUUUGAUAGAAAAUUCUAUUCACUACAUAGAUAAAGAUCAAUAACUCCGAUCUUGAAUUGAAGAUCCGAUUCAUCUGCCUUUUUUUGAACGUGUUUGAAUUUAUACCAGUUCAAUUUAUGCACUUGAUAGACCUUUAUAUAUUCAAAAUAACGAAAUUUAUUUUCAAGAAGUUUCAAAUACCUAGAAUCAUUAAUAAAGUGAUGUCGAUCGAAUGCGCCAUCAUCCGAAAACAACUUAUGAGUAAGGGCUCAAUACUCAUAAUUAAUAUACCAGGCAAUAUAUAAUAUAUAUAUAAUAUAUAAUAUAUACUUAUAUAUAUAUAUAUAGCUAGCUCAAUAACUAUAAUAGCACCAAUUCUUGUGCUACCCAAGUUUUUGUCACAUAUGAGAUUAAAGAUUACUUACGAAUGGGCCCUCCUAGGUUAGUGGUUGGCUGUUUAAUAGAAAUAUCUAACGUUGAAAACUAUCAAAAGGGUAAUCUAAAUGUGGAAAACUGGAGCACAAAGUGGUUCGCAAAUAGCAUAGUAACCUGACAAUAUAUAUAUACUAUAUAAAUAUAUAUAUUACAUAAUAUAUAAAUACUAUAUAUAGUAUAUAUAAGUCACUCACUAUACUAUUAUGAGUAUGAUCGUCCUCGUACUCAUAAGUUGUUUUCGAUGAUAGAGCUUCCAAAUCGACAAUCCACCCCGUUAAACGUUAGUUACAGCAUUUAAAACUUCUAUAAAUCAAAUUUUAUAAUUUUUCGACAUUAUUUAUCUUAUGAUCAAGAGGUCACAAAUUUGACAAUUUUUAACGGUCGGUAUGGGAUACUUGCUAGUUUAACAGUGUAAAAGAAUCAAAAUUUGUUGAAUUUUUGAUAGAAAAUUCUAUUCACUACAUAGAUGAAGAUCAAUAACUCCGAUCUUGAAUUGAAGGAUCCGAUCCUCCUUUUUUACGACGUCGUUUGAUUUUGACUAUUCAUUUUAUGCCCACUUGAUGGACUUUAUUAUGAUUUCGAAAAUUUACGAAAUUUAUUUUCUAAAAGUUUCAAAUACACUAGAUUAUAUUUAACGAAGUGGAUCGUCGAUUCGGAAGCUCCAUCAUUGAAAACAACUUAUGAGUACGAGGGCUCCAAUACUUAUAAUAGUAUAGUAGCCACAGCCUAUAUAUAUAUAUAUAUAUAUAUAUAUAUAUAUAUAUGAUACGGCUCUUAUGCUUUAGAAAGUUAGAAAGUAUGGUUGCCUAUGUGCUUAUAAGUUGUUUUCGAUGAUGGGACAUCCAAUUCUACGAUUGAUUUUGUUAGAUAUAAUCGACGCUAUUAAAAUUAUUUAGAAAUCAAAUUUUAUAAUUUUUCGACAUUAUUUGUUAAGUGAUCAACAUGUCUCAAAAUUGACCAUUUUAUUGAACAAUGCGGCACUUUUGUUAGUUCAAUGGUGUAGAACGAUCUAAAUUAUAUAAAAUUUUAAUAGAUUAUUCUACUUAUCAUGAAGAGCUAUAUCAAUACGUUUGAUUUAAAAGUUGAAUCCUUUAUCAUUAUUUUUUAUUUGAUUUUUAUUUUCAG